rnacentral:rRNA from 1 species
CCUACGGGAGGCAGCAGUGGGGAAUCUGGGACAAUGGGCGCAAGCCUGAUCCAGCCAUGCCGCCUGAGUGAUGAAAGGCCCUAGGGUCGUAAAGCUCUUUCGCCAGGGAUGAUAAUGACAGUACCUGGUAAAGAAACCCCGGCUAACUCCGUCCCAGCAGCCCCGGUAAUACGGAGGGGGUUAGCGUUGUUGGGAAUUACUGGGCGUAAAGCGCACGUAGGCGGAUCGGAAAGUUGGGGGUGAAAUCCCGGGGCUCAACCCCGGAACUGCCUCCAAAACUAUCGGUCUAGAGUUCGAGAGAGGAGAGUGGAAUUCCGAGUGUAGAGGUGAAAUUCGUAGAUAUUCGGAGGAACACCAGUGGCGAAGGCGGCUCACUGGCUCGAUACUGACGCUGAGGUGGGAAAGUGUGGGGAGCAAACAGGAUUAGAUACCCUGGUAGUCCACACCGUAAACGAUGAAUGCCAGUCGUCGGGUAGCAUGCUAUUCGGUGACACACCUAACGGAUUAAGCUUUCCGCCUGGGGAGUACGGUCGCAAGAUUAAAACUCAAAGGAAUGACGGGGAAUCGAAUUCCCCGCGGCCGCCAUGCCGCCCGGGAGCCCUGGAACUCCGCCG